rnacentral:rRNA from 1 species
GACGAACGCUGGCGGCGUGCUUAACACAUGCAAGUCGAACGGAAAGGCCCUGCUUUUGUGGGGUGCUCGAGUGGCGAACGGGUGAGUAACACGUGAGUAACCUGCCCUUGACUUUGGGAUAACUUCAGGAAACUGGGGCUAAUACCGGAUAGGAGCUCCUGCUGCAUGGUGGGGGUUGGAAAGUUUCGGCGGUUGGGGAUGGACUCGCGGCUUAUCAGCUUGUUGGUGGGGUAGUGGCUUACCAAGGCUGUGACGGGUAGCCGGCCUGAGAGGGUGACCGGCCUCAUUGGGACUGAGAUACGGCCCAGACUCCUACGGGAGGCAGCAGUGGGGAAUAUUGCACAAUGGGCGGAAGCCUGAUGCAGCAACGCCGCGUGCGGGAUGACGGCCUUCGGGUUGUAAACCGCUUUCGCCUGUGACGAAGCGUGAGUGACGGUAAUGGGUAAAGAAGCACCGGCUAACUACGUG